GUUUGAUCCUGGCUCAGGAUGAACGCUGGCGGCGUGCCUAAUACAUGCAAGUCGAGCGAAUGGAUUAAGAGCUUGCUCUUAUGAAGUUAGCGGCGGACGGGUGAGUAACACGUGGGUAACCUGCCCAUAAGACUGGGAUAACUCCGGGAAACCGGGGCUAAUACCGGAUAACAUUUUGAACUGCAUGGUUCGAAAUUGAAAGGCGGCUUCGGCU
rnacentral:rRNA from 1 species